rnacentral:rRNA from 1 species
GACGAACGCUGGCGGCGUGCUUAACACAUGCAAGUCGAACGGAAAGGCCCUGCUUUUGUGGGGUGCUCGAGUGGCGAACGGGUGAGUAACACGUGAGUAACCUGCCCUUGACUUUGGGAUAACUUCAGGAAACUGGGGCUAAUACCGGAUAUGAGCUCCUGCUGCAUGGUGGGGGUUGGAAAGUUUCGGCGGUUGGGGAUGGACUCGUGGCUUAUCAGCUUGUUGGUGGGGUAGUGGCGUACCAAGGCUUUGACGGGUAGCCGGCCUGAGAGGGUGACCGGCCACAUUGGGACUGAGAUACGGCCCAGACUGCUACGGGAGGCAGCAGUGGGGAAUAGUGCGCAAUGGGCGGAGGCCGUAUGCAGGAACGCCGCGUGCGAGAUGACUGCUUGCGGGUUGUAAACCGCUUUCGCCUGUGACGAAGAGUGAGUGACGGUAAUGGGUAAAGAAGCACCGGCUAACUACGUG